rnacentral:rRNA from 1 species
UACGUAGGGACCAAGCGUUGUUCGGAUUUACUGGGCGUAAAGAGCUUGUAGGCGGUUUGUCGCGUCUGCUGUGAAAAUCCGGGGCUCAACCCCGGACUUGCAGUGGGUACGGGCAGACUAGAGUGUGGUAGGGGAGACUGGAAUUCCUGGUGUAGCGGUGGAAUGCGCAGAUAUCAGGAGGAACACCGAUGGCGAAGGCAGGUCUCUGGGCCACUACUGACGCUGAGAAGCGAAAGCAUGGGGAGCGAACAGG